CAACUACUCCCUCCGUCCCAAAUUUCUUGUCUUAGAUUUGUCUAGAUACGGAUGUAUCUACUAAAAUGUGACUUGAUACAUCCAUAUCUAGACAAAUCUAAGACAAGAAUUUUGGGACGGAGGGAGUACUUU
rfam:Triticum aestivum genome assembly, contig: Triticum_aestivum_CS42_TGACv1_scaffold_503768_6BL